AUGUGUACGGACAGUAGAGCCGUUAACAAGAUCACCGUAAGGUAUAGAUUCCCUAUUCCCCGUCUGGAUGAUAUGUUGGAUCAGCUUAGUGGAGCAAGAGUGUUCACAAAGCUAGAUUUGAGAAGUGGAUAUCAUCAAAUCCGUAUAAGACCCAUGGAUGAAUGGAAGACCGCCUUCAAGACAAAGCAAGGGUUGUUUGAAUGGCUAGUCAUGCCAUUUGGACUCUCAAAUGCACCAAGUAUCUUUAUGCACUUAAUGAAUCAAGUCGUUAGACCCUUCUUAUCCCACUUUGUUGUGGUCUAUUUUGAUGACAUCUUGAUCUAUAGCAAGGAUGAGGAUGAACACUUUGAUCACAUUCGGAAGGUGCUAGAAGUACUAAGGGAAAAUGAGCUCUACGUCAACUUGAAGAAAUGUGUUUUCCUACAAACACAACUUAUUUUCCUAGGAUUCAUCAUAACAUGUGAAAGUAUUUGUGUUGAUGAUUCUAAGGUUGAAGCAAUCCGAGAAUGGCCAACUCCUAAGACCAUUUAUGAGGUAAGAAGCUUUCAUGGCCUUGCAACUUUCUAUAGGCGAUUUGUGAAGAAUUUCAGCACUAUAAUGGCACCAAUUACUGAGUGUUUGAAGAAAGGAAAUUUCCGAUGGAUAGAAGCAGCUGAAGCUUGUUUCAAUGAGAUUAAACAAAAGCUAUCACAAGCUCUUGUCUUGGUACUACCUGAUUUCAACAAGACUUUUGAGUUGGAGUGUGAUGCAAGUGGAGUAGGCAUUGGAGAUGUCCUAUCUCAAGAAAGGAAUCCCAUUGCUUUCUUUAGUGAGAAGUUAAGUGAAGCUAGACAGAAAUGGAGUACCUAUUAG
rnacentral:rRNA from 1 species